UGGGGAAUUUUGGACAAUGGGCGAAAGCCUGAUCCAGCAAUGCCGCGUGUGUGAAGAAGGCCUUCGGGUUGUAAAGCACUUUUGUCCGGAAAGAAAUCCUUGGCUCUAAUACAGUCGGGGGAUGACGGUACCGGAAGAAUAAGCACCGGCUAACUACGUGCCAGCAGCCGCGGUAAUACGUAGGGUGCAAGCGUUAAUCGGAAUUACUGGGCGUAAAGCGUGCGCAGGCGGUUUGCUAAGACCGAUGUGAAAUCCCCGGGCUCAACCUGGGAACUGCAUUGGUGACUGGCAGGGCUAGAGUAUGGCAGAGGGGGGUAGAAUUCCACGUNUAGCAGUGAAAUGCGUAGAGAUGUGGAGGAAUACCGAUGGCGAAGGCAGCCCCCUGGGCAAUACUGACGCUCAUGCACGAAA
rnacentral:rRNA from 1 species